GAUAAAAUUAAUGCUCAUUCCAUACGUGCGGAUUAGACAGAUAGAACAUUUAAAUUGUAAAUUCGACUUUGAUAUUGGAUUAAAGAAAAUCUUGAAACGCAGAGCUCGUAUUUCGUCAACAAGGAAAAAGAUAUAAGAGCAAGGAGCAAAAUGUGCGAUAUGAGAAAAUGCAGUGGACGAUGGGAACCAUAAAUCCUGCAAUCAAUCGUUCACGUAUAUCGUUGCGGACGCGUAUAUGGUAGACGAAGAUAAGUCUGAAGCGAAUUCAUGCGACAAAAUGAAGUACGGGCGUUUACGUUUCUUUGCGCGUAGGUCACGGAAUAUGUGCGCCCAAUUGACUCGCUCUGAUAUUGCCUACGUACAUUUAUCUCAUAUUUAGAUCGCAUAAAUGGAAGAUUCGCAACGUUCAGAAACAAUUUCUCUACGUCGAUUUAUACUCGCGGUGGAAAUUGGUAAAAAUUAACUUUCCUUCCCGGCUACUCAAUAUUUAUUUAAAUUGCAUAUAUGUACUUCGCAGAAAAAGAAGUAUAAAUAAUCAUAAAUAUCGCGAUGUGUGUGUCGAGAAAGAAAGUUAAUUAAUUAAUUGCAACUGCAGUUAAUAAAGACAUGUUAAUUACGGAAUAUGCAGUUAUAAUAGUUAAUAUGUAGUAAUUAAUAUCUGCAGUUAUCUAUUUAGGAAAGUAUAUACGGUGCAUCAUAAAUUAUGAGGCAUGCACAUCACGUUAAGCAUACGCGAUUAGCUCGUGUGAUGACAAAUAAAAAAUUUAUGAUUCUGCGUAUAUAGUACGACGUUCGACGCAAUUGAUAACCGCUAAUAGACUACAGUAGCCUAUCUACUCUGGUGCAACAACAGCUAGUAUGCAGAGGAGGCCACCAGAUGAUAACGACGCGUGAUGUCAACGCGUGAUUCAUGGGGAAAAGAGAGGAAAAGGAAUAUAAAUAAUACGUGAGCGGGCCUUGAUCUCAUUUUGACACGACUACGAUUGUAUCACCGUUCUUCUCUUGAACUCGUUUGUCGCAGGUCGCAGCUUGUCGGACUGUCGCGAAGAAAAAAAAAUGCAAGAUGUUUUAAACAAUUUCUCUUCCUAUUGUCAUAGAAUUCUAAUGUACACGCUUAUACUGCAAUCAGGAACUAUUUAACUUUAUGAAACAAUCACCAGUAAACGAGCGUCGCAAUUUCGUUGUCUUUACGUUCAUUUCUACUGAUGGAGAUCUUCAAUCGGUUUAACUUACUUUCUGUCUUUCUAGUUCUAUAAAAAACUAGAAAAGUAAUAGAAAUAGACAUUAAAGAUAUGAGUUUUGACUCGCUAUAACUUGCAACGAGAGAUAAGUCAAUGCGACGUCUCAAUUUGAGAGAUUACCGAUGAUAGAUUUAUUUAUAUCCGUAAUAAAUAUCCCAUAAUGUUCCAACAAUAUUAUUCCACAAACUCCCAUAUUAUUUUCAUUAACUGCACGUUGUUGUUAUUGACAAGACUAGCUUAUUCUUAUAUAGGAAAUGCUAUUUCUGAUACGUCAGUGUCAAUUUAACCAUACAGAAUCGAAUGAACGGAAAGAAAUAUAAUCAGUUUCCGGGACACCAGCACAUUGUUAGCCAGUUGUAAAUUCGUGUGGUCGACUCAUCGAUAACUUGUCCGAUAUCACGACCUACUUCUGAUACAGACGUAUUAUUAUUACACUAUAUCGGCAUUAGGUUGCAUCAGUUUCAAUUAAAAAAAAAAAAAAAAAAAAAUUCGAUCGGUAUAGUUAAUAUAACUGGAAUGGAAAGAGAAACAAAAUGUUGCUAGAAAGUAAAUAUGCAACGUGCUGACGGCGCAGACAGAUAAGAUUGGACAAUAAGGAUAUUGUUUUCUCUCUCACGCAAAUUCUACUUUCCAUAAACAAACGUUAUUCUGAUCAAAGACUGAUUUACUGAAAUGAGCUUUGUGAGUUACGUCUUCUUCCCAAGGGGAAACAUCGCUUGCAUGAGCGCGAGGCAUGUGUGUAUCUCAUUUGAAAUUCUAUCUAUAAACGUGCAUCGUGCAUGUAACUGGGCAAUGUAACAAUAGCAGACGCUUUAUCCCUCGUAUUUGUUUUUAGUUUGAGCAAUUGCUUGCGGAUAAGCAAGUUUAGCACGUUUCUGCGUUAAAACGUUUAAAUCAUACAAGAUUAAAAAAAGAAUAGAACUGCACUCCUGUUGCGUAACACAUCAGGAGGUAAACCUGCACGAUGUUACACGGAACAUCUCUCUGGAACGCGCUGCACGGUGUCACAUGAGAAUAUCUUUAUCAGCAUCAGCACGACGUUAAUCAUAAAAUGUGCGAGGUUUUUCCCCAGUAUAUUACGCGAGUAUCAGGCUUCCUGGCACGUGGCUGAUAAAUAAAUUAUUAUCGUCCCACGGGACUGCACAAUAGGCGUGUGCAGAGAUUCCAACGUUCUCGAGAAGAUGAUAGCACGUCGAAAGAUCGUGGCAACGAAUCGUAACAACAGUUUCCUCGAAGACUUCGAAAAUAGAUAAAACUACGGUGGCAAAACUUCUGACAAUUUUAUCAGAUGUUUCAAAAAAGUAACAAGCGUAUUGUGUGCGUCUUUUCUAUAUAUAAAUUUAAUUUCUUUUUCAUGAAGAUAUAAUCCAACGCAUUAUUACUCUGACAAUUAAUUAGUACACUUUGGCAAGCUAAAAACCUGCAAUUAUAUAAAGAUUAACGCAAUGUGAGAUUUCUAAAUUAUUUUUAGCCAAAAUUCGUAGCGCGAAACAUUAUUUCCAUUGGUGAAACGAUUAAUGUUAAAA